AUUUCCAGUACAUGUGUAAAGGAGAACAAAUAACUGUUACUCUGGAUCUGAUGCAACAUGAGAAAAAACACAAUAAGCAGUGUGAAAGCUUUCAGAAUGUGACUCUGGAACUGUGGGAGCCAGUGAUUUGCAGUUUGGAGAUUGUUUCGGCGAUCCAGUGCUCUGCUGUCUCCAAGAGGAUUCUGGGAAGCAGAGAGGCAAAGUGCACAAAUCUUGUGGUGAAUAGGCUGUGAGCCAGUGUUCAACUCCAUUUCGCUGACUAAAGCUUCCAUUGUUCACCGAUUAAGGCAACGAGGGUGAUUGAAACAUCCUGGCAAAUGCAGAAGAGUUGGCUUCAAGCAACUCAACGGCACAGAGAUAUGGACGUCACAGUGGCCACCAAUCAGCUACUAAGCCUUUGCUUGCUUCAAAGAUCCCACUGUUUGGACAGUGUGUGUUAAAUUCAUCUCUCCCUUGCUGUACGGAUGAACAGCUGUUCUCUGCCAAUUCAAACAAUGCUGCAAUUUAAAGAAAAACCCAGUUAAAUGCUGAAAGAGAAGAAUAUUCUUGUGGCAUUAUUUUAAGAUGAAGGAAGAAGAAAUGUUUGCUUUUCUAAAGGACUUCUAGCAACUUCAGGAUAUCACAAAGGACUAUAGAGAAAAUGAAGCUGUUCUUUGUCUAAACACAGUCAGGCUGCAGUAACCACACCCCCGGCCAGUGGUUUGUGGGUUCAGUAGCACAAUAGAACAGAAUUCAGAGGCCUGGACAAAUGAUCUAAGGACCUGAGUUCAAAUCCCAUUUAAUGCCCUUUCCUCUUCCACCCUCAACUCCAAAAUUUAAGUUCAGUUAAAUACAGAGUUUGCCAUACCAGUGGUAACACUGGAACAGCUGGGUCUUUACAGUUCUGUAUAGAGCUUUACAGCUGUUCAGCCAACAAUGUUGUGCUGACCUUUUAAUGUAUUCUAAGAUCAAUCUAACCCUUCCAUCCUACAUAACCCUCCAUUAUUCUAUCACCUACAUGCCUAUCUAACAUUUUCUUAAAUAUCCCAAGGUACCUAAUAGCACCUCUACCACCAUCCCUGGCAGUGUGUUCCAUGCACCUUCCUCUCACUAUGUGAAAGCCUUACCUCCGUCAUUUUCCUAUACCUUUUUCCAGUCAUCUUGCAAUGAUGCCUCCUGCUGUUAGUCAUUUAUGCCCUAGGAAAUAGUCUUUGGACCUACUUGAACUAUGCCUCUUGUUAUCUUCUACACCACUAUAAUGGCACCUCUCAUCCUCCUUUGCUCCAAAGAGAAAGACCCUAGUUCGCUCAACACAUCAUCAUAAUGCAUGCUUUCUCAUCCAGGCAGCAUCCUGGUAAAUCUCCUCAGUGCUGUCUAAGCUUGCUCUUGUGGCAACUGUUAGCAACGAAAAUCUUUCAUCCUUACCUAUCCUGGCCUAUAUAUGACCAGACCCAGCACAAAAAAAAACAAAUAAUGGAUCUUCAUCAAUGUGUUUAGUCACAUCCUCAAAAAAUUCAAUCAGGCUCAUAAGGCAUGCUAGCGAUCCAGAAGAUAAUAGGGCUAAUAGGACGGAGCUUAAGAAGGAUAUUAGGAGAGCCCAGAAGGGAUCAUGAGAAGGCCUUGGUGGGCAGGAUUAAGGAAAACCCGAAGGCAUUCUACAAGUAUGUGAAGAGCAAGCGGAUAAGAUGUGGAAGAAUAGGACCUAUUAAGUGUGACAGUGGGAAGUGUAUAGAACUGGAGGAAAUAGCAGAGGUAGUUAAUGAAUACUUUACUUCAGUAUUCACUAUGGAAAAGGAUCUUGGUGAUUGUAGUGCUGACUUGCAGCAGACUGAAAAGCUUGAGCAUGUAGAUAUUAAGAAAGAGGAUGUGCUGGAGCUUUUGGAAAGCAUCAAGUUGGAUAAAUUGCCGGGACCAGAUGAGAUGUACC